GCCAGACUCCUACGGGAGGCAGCAGUGGGGGAUAUUGCACAAUGGGGGAAACCCUGAUGCAGCGACGCCGCGUGAGUGAAGAAGUAUUUCGGUAUGUAAAGCUCUCUCAGCAGGGAAGAAAAUGACGGUACCUGACCAAGAAGCCCCGGCUAACUACGUGCCAGCAGCCGCGGUAAUACGUAGGGGGCAAGCGUUAUCCGGAUUUACUGGGUGUAAAGGGAGCGUAGACGGCUGAGCAAGUCAGAAGUGAAAGCCCGGGGCUCAACCCCGGGACUGCUUUUGAAACUGCGGAGCUGGAGUGCAGGAGAGGUAAGCGGAAUUCCUGGUGUAGCGGUGAAAUGCGUAGAUAUCAGGAGGAACACCAGUGGCGAAGGCGGCUUACUGGACUGUAACUGACGUUGAGGCUCGAAAGCGUGGGGAGCAAACAGGAUUAGAUACCCUCGUAA
rnacentral:rRNA from 1 species